GCCACCACCUCCGUGGCGCGAGGGCGGCCGUUAGGAAAAGGGAGCGCGCGGCUGGCGGGCGUGAGGGGCAAACAGCGUUGCUUCAGAGGGCGUCAUGGCGGGCUUCCCCGCCUCCCUUGCGCAAGCCGGGGCCUUGCUGCUUUGCCUGUGGCUGAGCCAAUGCGGGGCGGUGUGGAGAUAUGUAACGAACACAGCAGAUUAUUUAAUAUUUUCUACAAGAACUACAAACAGAUCUGUAUCAGGAAGCAGUCCAACCAGAAAGUCCUUCUUUUCUUCACUUCUCUUUCAAUGGACAGCCAGUUCCCAAGCUACAAACAUCCUGUUGAAAAUGACAACUUUCAUCUAGCCUUCUCUAGCAAUUUGUUUGUCUAUGAUCUUGUUGUUUACUGUAUCCUAUAAGUAUGUUCUAGUGUGCAGCUUCCUUUAUGCUAUGGUUUCUGAGAAGUUAUAUAAAAGAAGCUAUAGACCACAUGCUUUCUAUUCUCUCCUUUUGACUAUGUGACCUGUUGAUAGCUGUUUUGUUACAAGAGAGAUGCCCUGGCCAGCUGGCACAGGGAACCAUCUCAAAAUAUUUGAAAUUGGGGUAAUAAGUUAUAGCACCUGUGCAUGCUGAACACAUGAAAACUGUGAGUAAACCAAAUAUGUUAUUUCUGUCAAAGUCUACUUCAAUUUUGUCU